UGGAUCUAUGCGGACAGAGGGAGAGGGCACUCUCCAAGAGAGCGAGCAGCAGAAGAUCGGUCUACCCAAGUGUUGUUGCAACAUUGGGCCCGCCUCUGUGUGGAUCAGUGACUGCUGUGUAGGGAGGACGCCUGGUUGACAGGGUUUGAUCCGUCAACGUUUUUUUCUUUGGGCCGGGGCUGGUACGAGAAGUGGAGAGAUGGUGCCUUCAGUGUGUUCGAUGCAGCCUGCACAAGAAUCCUGCAAAUAAAAGACUGCUCAAUAUUGAUAUUUCUGAGAAGGCAGCUGGUUGGUUUGAAAAUUACCUCUCAGGCAGGACUCAACUUACAAGUUGUAUCAGGGGUCCCACAGGGAUCGGUGCUGGGCCCAGUUUUAUUUACCAUUUAUGUAAAUUACCUUGGUUAAAAUGUCCAUAAUGCUCUGUUUAAUUUUUAUACUGACGACAGAAUUAUUUACACCUGUGGAGAAACCCUUCACCAGACUUUUCAGUAUCUGCAGGAUGCCUCGACACUGUACAAUCUUGGCUGUCCAACUUGAAGCUUAUGUUGAAUGCAAGUAAAACCAAGAUGGUACGGUUCUCAAAUAUUAGGAACUCCACAACUAUCCUUCCAAACAUUAUUACUCUGCAGGGAAAUCUAAUAGAGUGUGUGGCUGAGUACAAGUACUUAGGACUUUUACUUGACGACCAUUUGACUUUUAAGGCUCAUAUCCAAAAUUUUGCCCAGAAACUUAGAUUAAAACUAGGGUUCUAUUUUAGGAAUAGGGCCUGUUUUUCUUAUGUAACAGGGAAGAAAUUAGUUGAGUCUACUUUCCUGCCUCUUUUGGAAUAUGGAGAUUUUUUUAUAUAUGCACGCCCCUAAUAAAUAUUUGCACCAAUUGGAUUCAGCUUAUCAAGGUGCAUUGAAAUUUAUUACAGGGUGCAAGCCUUUCACACAGUUGCACACUGUAUAAUCUAGUCCAGUGGCCCUCCCUUUCUCAGCGCAGGCUAACCCGGUGGCGAUUGUUAAUAUA